AAAAAAAAAAGCUUCAAACUGGGAUUAGAUACCCCACUAUACCUAAGCCGUAAACUUUAACUUACACCUCAAUCGCCCGGGAACUACGAGCAAAGCUUAAAACCCAAAGGACUUGACGGUGCCCCAUAUCCCCCUAGAGGAGCCUGUCCUAUAAUCGAUGAUCCCCGUUCAACCUCACCACUUCUAGCUUAUCAGCCUGUAUACUUCCGUCGUAAGUUUACCACGUGAGCGAUAACUCAGUAAGUCUAACGUCCUACACACUUAUUUUACCGACAAUACGUCAGGUCAAAGUGCAGCAAAUGAAGUGGGAAGAGAUUGGCUACACUUUUUAGCAUAAAAGAAAACGAAAGACAAUAAUGAAACUUUGUCCGAAGGCGGAUUUAGCAGUAAAAAAAAUUCAAAACAUUUAUUUUAACCUAGCACUGGGGUGUGUACACACCGCCCGUCACCCUC
rnacentral:rRNA from 1 species